rnacentral:misc_RNA from 1 species
CAGAAGUUACCUUCAAGCAAUUUUGGAAAAACUUGUAGAGAAUACAAAGAUGCAGAGUGCAACAAAACUCAAGAGCAUAAUCCGAGAUUCGAAGGAAACUUUGGUGGAGUCAGAUCUAAGGAACAGAAUGCAGCCUUUGCAAGAUCUUCUUAUAAAGACAAUAGAUCAUUUACAAUCUGUUGUUGAACCUCAUGUGUUCAUAGCCAUUUGCCGAGGUUUUUGGGAUCGCAUGGGACAGGAGAUACUACGCAUUCUGCAAAAUAGGGGAG